rnacentral:rRNA from 1 species
AUGAUGGCGACGUAAAAGCUCGCCAGAGUACCAAUUGGAGGGCAAGUCUGGUGCCAGCAGCCGCGGUAAUUCCAGCUCCAAUAGCGUAUAUUAAACUUGUUGCAGUUAAAAAGCUCGUAGUUGAACUUCAGCCAUUGGUGUCAUCGCGCGUGUCGCUUUGUCUCCGUUGGCUUAUCUUUUUACUUUGAGAAAAUUAGAGUGUUUCAAGCAGACUUUUGUCUUGAAUACUUCAGCAUGGAAUAAUAGAGUAGGACCUUGGUUCUAUUUUGUUGGUUUCUGAACCUGGGUAAUGGUUAAUAGGAACGGUUGGGGGCAUUCGUAUUUAACUGUCAGAGGUGAAAUUCUUAGAUUUGUUAAAGACGAACUACUGCGAAAGCAUUUGCCAAGGACGUUUUCAUUAAUCAAGAACGAAAGUUAGGGGAUCGAAGACGAUCAGAUACCGU